rnacentral:rRNA from 1 species
AACGAACGCUGGCGGCAUGCCUAACACAUGCAAGUCGAACGAGACCUUCGGGUCUAGUGGCGCACGGGUGCGUAACGCGUGGGAACCUGCCUUUAGGUUCGGAAUAACUCAGAGAAAUUUGAGCUAAUACCGGAUGAUGUCUUCGGACCAAAGAUUUAUCGCCUUUAGAUGGGCCCGCGUUGGAUUAGCUAGUUGGUGGGGUAAAGGCCUACCACGGCGACGAUCCAUAGCUGGUCUGAGAGGAUGAUCAGCCGCACUGGGACUGAGACACGGCCCAGACUCCUACGGGAGGCAGCAGUGGGGAAUAUUGGACAAUGGGCGAAAGCCUGAUCCAGCAAUGCCGCGUGAGUGAUGAAGGCCGUAGGGUUGUAAAGCUCUUUUACCCGAGAUGAUAAUGACAGUAUCGGGAGAAUAAGCACCGGCUAACUCCGUG